rnacentral:tRNA from 1 species
GCUCGUAGCUAGCCGGAUGGAGCGUCUGACUACGAAUCAGAAGGUCGCAGGUUCGAGUCCUGCCGAGCGCG